ensembl:lncRNA
CUCGCCAGUGUAGCCCUUGGCGUUAUUCCAGGACCAGCGUCUUCUGUACGCUUACUCUGGGGUUCAGACUUCUGCGCCCCUGGCCGGCGGUGGCGCGCCUCCUCCACGCCUCUCUCCAGCCCUGAGCUCUCUGCGGCCGAAAGUGGCCGGGCAAGCGUUGCCAUGACAGCACCGCGGGUGGGGAUGCGGAGGGCAGAGCGCGCCGGCCCGCUAGCCCCUUUGUGCGGAAGGGGCGGCGGUGUGCUCCCCCCAGCCCGGCUGCACCCCGCUUUCCCGGCCAGGACUCUGGGCGAGGGAAAGGGGAGGGUUAGGUGUGGGGCUGUAGGGGCGCAAGGAGGAGGGAGAAGGGUGGAGGCGAGGGCCGCGGGUGGGGCGCCUCCGCCCGCCAGCCGCUCCCGCAUUAAAAUUUCAUGGGCGCUGCAGCAGCUACAAAGACGACGCCGGCUGCGCUCGGGGGACCGGAGGGAGGGAGGCUGCGGACGAGUGCGGGGAGGAGUUUGAGGUGGGAGGUGCUUGCAGGGACUCCCCCAGUUCUGCGCUGUGAGCCGGGGCACAAAGAGCCCUCUGCACUCGCGCCGCAGGACCGCGGACCCGAGGUCCUUUCUCUGGCUGUGAUCCAUGCUUCUUCCCCGGGCAGGAUGACACUCUUUGAAUUUCCUUAUUCAUCAAGGCAGUGCAGGGUGGUGGAAGGAGACGCAGCUGAGAGUUAUGCAGGUCCACAGAGCCAGGGGAAACAGUCACUGUGGACCAAGCCAGGCUCCUCUGAGCAGCCCAGGGUCUAUUUACAGAGAGCAGCAAGUUCCUGGGACAGAGGAGAGAGAAGGGAAUUUCCAGGUUCUUCAGGACGUUCACAACCAUGCUGAGAAGCAUCCUUGCAGUCCUAGGUGCUGACAGCAAGCUCUGUAAAUCUGCUGAGAAGGCUCCCUGACUCUCCUGACUCAGGUCUGCCAUUGAUGAAGACAGCACAGCUGUUACCCAAAGCAAAACCUGGCAGGUGGUGCUAGGUCAGGAUUAGCGGUCAUUCUCUGGUCUUCUCCAGAUUGAUGACACAGGUUGGUCUUAAAGGAGUCCUACUCCAGCCUCCGGCUCCUCAAAUUUCCUCUGGUGCAGGGCACAUCAGGGAAGGGCAGGGGAGAAGGAGGGGAGCAGAAAAAUAACUGAGGCUGGGCAGAAGAGUCCCUUCUGUUUCCAUCUGCUGCUUAAACCAUGGGUUAUUGUUGUGCACUUCGAAUGUCAAGGCAGGAAGGGUCCCAGGGUCACCCAGUGUGGCAGGAGUAGAGCUGGGAUCAGAAUUCUGGAUUCCCAACUCUCCAUUCAGCUGCAAUUCAGCUGUCACCAAGCUGCUCAGUUUUUCCUCCUUUCUCCCUGGUUGCAUUCUGCUGCUGUUGGGAAACAGGGCGUGAGUGAAGGGAAUCCCUCUCCCCUCUCCGCUCACCUUUUUUUUUUUUUUUUGAGAUGAAGUUUCGCUGUUGUUACCCAGACUGUAGUGCAAUGGCGCGAUCUUGGCUCACCGCAACCUCCGCCUCCUGGGUUCAGGCAAUUCUCCUGCCUCAGCCUCCCGAGUAGCUGGGAUUACAGGCACGCGCCACCAUGCCCAGCUAAUUUUUGUAUUUUUAGUAGAGACGGGGUUUCACCAUGUUGACCAGGGAUGGUCUCGAUCUCUUGACCUCGUGAUCCACCCGCCUCGGCCUCCCAAAGUGCUGGGAUUACAGGCUUGAGCCACCGUGCCCGGCCUCCGCUCACCUUUUAAGGAUGUUGCGGGGUGGAGUAAAGGGAGGGGCAGGGUUGUGUGCCUGAGUCCAGCUUCUCUGGCUCCGGGGCCUUCUAUCUUCAGCAGGGAGUUCUGGCAAAGCCUGAGCCUGGGUAGAGGGCCUGGGUGCGGUUUUCUCCUGCCGUGUGGUUGGCUCUUUUGUCUUCCAGGAUGGCCUGUGGGGUCUGUGUGGGGAAGGAAGGAGCUGGGAGCCUGGGCUGUCUGUGUGCUGGCUACAUGCUGCCAGGUAAGCCUGGGAGGGAUUUGGGGAGGGAGGGAGGUCACACAGAGCUGAAUUUCAUGGGGGUAGGUUGUCCCUCCCACCUGUGCCCCCUCCUCAGGCCCAGAAUGCUUCUGCUCAUGAGAAGAUGGCCUGGGAGCCAGGUGGCUGGAAGGCUUGCUCUGUGUGGUCUUGGUGGGGGUGGGUGGGAUGGGAUGAGGACCAGUGUGGGUGAACUUGAGCAGAUAAUUUAGCAUGUUCCUUCAUUCAGCCCCGGCAUGGACCAAGUACCUUCUCUGAGCCAGGCGCUGGGGAUGCAGAGGUGAACCCAGAGACGUGGUCCUGUCUGCUCGGAUCUUCAUGUCAGAACACGCUUUAUUACAGUCUCAGCCAGGGG